rnacentral:rRNA from 1 species
GAUGAACGCUGGCGGCGUGCCUAAUACAUGCAAGUCGAGCGAACAGAUGAGGAGCUUGCUCCUCUGACGUUAGCGGCGGACGGGUGAGUAACACGUGGAUAACCUACCUAUAAGACUGGGAUAACUUCGGGAAACCGGAGCUAAUACCGGAUAAUAUAUUGAACCGCAUGGUUCAAUAGUGAAAGACGGUUUUGCUGUCACUUAUAGAUGGAUCCGCGCCGCAUUAGCUAGUUGGUAAGGUAACGGCUUACCAAGGCAACGAUGCGUAGCCGACCUGAGAGGGUGAUCGGCCACACUGGAACUGAGACACGGUCCAGACUCCUACGGGAGGCAGCAGUAGGGAAUCUUACGCAGUGGGCGAAAGCCUGACGGAGCAACGCCGCGUGAGUGAUGAAGGUCUUCGGAUCGUAAAACUCUGUUAUUAGGGAAGAACAAAUGUGUAAGUAACUAUGCACGUCUUGACGGUACCUAAUCAGAAAGCCACGGCUAACUACGUG